ACGAGUGUUUAAUUCUUUUUUUUUUAUCCAUAAUCCGCAUAUAUUUUGACUUUCAUUUGAGAGAAAGAUAGAAAAGUGAAAAGGAUUUCUGCGUAACAGAUAUCUAUUAAAUUAAUUAGUUAAUAAUUGUUUUUGUCCUAUUACACAGAUUAGUCAACAAUUAAGAGAGAUUUGAACUUAUAUCCUUUGCUUACUGAAAAGAUAAGUCGUCUCCUAUGGUGUUUUAGCUGUUAACCUUUCAUCUUGGAGGCUCUUGUGGUUAAUUAAGGAACAUUAGAAGAGCUCCGGAUACCAUUAAAUUAUGAGAUUUUGGAGCAUUGGUUGUAAUAGUCCUCAUUUGCCCCCGGAAAGUAGCUGUGCCUAUGGUUCUAAAGUAAGCAUGAAAGUACCUUCUUUUUUAUUGGGAACGAAGACAGUGUGCUGAAAAAAGGAUUUAUGACAAUCAACUGAUUGUUGUCCCACAAAUGAGAAGGAAUUGCAGUUAAUUUUGGUGCUACUAAAACAA